GCGAAAAGAACCCCUGUGAGGGGAGUGAAAUAGAUCCUGAAACCGCAUGCAUACAAGCAGUGGGAGCACCUUCGUGGUGUGACUGCGUACCUUUUGUAUAAUGGGUCAGCGACUUAUAUUCAGUAGCGAGGUUAACCGUAUAGGGGAGCCGUAGAGAAAUCGAGUCUUAAUAGGGCGUUUAGUUGCUGGGUAUAGACCCGAAACCAGGCGAUCUAUCCAUGAGCAGGUUGAAGGUUGGGUAACACUAACUGGAGGACCGAACCCACUGUCGUUGAAAAGCCAGGGGAUGACUUGUGGAUAGGGGUGAAAGGCUAAUCAAGCCUGGUGAUAGCUGGUUCUCCCCGAAAGCUAUUUAGGUAGCGCCUCGGACGAAUACCAUAGGGGGUAGAGCACUGUUUCGGCUAGGGGGUCAUCCCGACUUACCAAACCGAUGCAAACUCCGAAUACCUAUGAGUACUAUCCGGGAGACAGACUGCGGGUGCUAACGUCCGUAGUCAAGAGGAAAACAAUCCAGACCGCCAGCUAAGGCCCCAAAAUCAUAGUUAAGUGGGAAACGAUGUGGGAAGGCAUAGACAGCUAGGAGGUUGGCUUAGAAGCAGCCACCCUUUAAAGAAAGCGUAAUAGCUCACUAGUCGAGUCGGCCUGCGCGGAAGAUGUAACGGGGCUAAAACUAUGUGCCGAAGCUGCGGAUGUAUACUUUGUAUACGUGGUAGGGGAGCGUUCUGUAAGCCGAUGAAGGUGUGUUGAGAAGCAUGCUGGAGGUAUCAGAAGUGCGAAUGCUGACGUGAGUAACGACAAAACGGGUGAAAAACCCGUUCGCCGAAAGACCAAGGGUUCCAGUCCAACGUUAAUCGGGGCUGGGUGAGUCGACCCCUAAGG
rnacentral:rRNA from 1 species